GUCGGGGAAAUGUUGGGAGCACUGCACUGAGCACAACGGCCGAGGAGCGCGUUCCCAGCGCCCCGUCAAUGUCAGGAAAUAUGAGACGAUAAAAAUGGUAAACAAACAACAUAGGCGAAAAAAUACAGUUUAGGAGGAAGUUAAAGCGAGAGUUAGAAAUAGAAGAAGAUUAUAAAGAGUGGAUAAAACGUGGUUGAUCGAGACAGUCGAAGAGCAUCUAGCUGACGGUGGUUGGAUUUAUUUGAUUAGCUAAAUUAGGAGAUAAAAGCAACAGAAAAGUUAAAAUUAACAUUAAAGUGCAGCACAGAGCACGAUUAACAAUUAACCGUUGAUGCGAAAGGCGUAAAAAAGGCUAAAUCUGCAAAGAGGGAAUCACGGAACUAAAAUUGUAAGUGAUUCAUACUAGAGUUAAG